GGUUAACCCUAGCUGGACCUGGCACCCAGACCACUUCAUUAAGUGGUCUGGGUGCCUAUAGUGGUCCUUUAACUAGCCUAUGACUGUAUUUCAUGUCCCCCAUCCCUCUCCAAAAUGCAUGACACACACACACACUACCCUGGGUAGGGCAACAUUACCACUUGCCAGUGGCAAAAAAGUUAUGUCCAGAGUAAAUGUAAAUUGAUGAGUGUGUGUGUUUUGCCAGGAUAUGGGAAUGCAGAGUAGAUUUGAGCAACACAGAAAAAUACCCUAUGUGAAUGUGGGGGUUAUUUAUGUAGUAUGGCAGUGUGUGGCUGUGGUAGUUUGAGUAGCAUAGCAGUAUAUGAAUGUGGUAAUUUAGUUGUGUAGCAUGGCAGCGUGUGAAUUUGUUAGUUGUGUAGCAUGGCAGCGUGUGAAUGUGGUAGUAUUUGGGUAACAUGGCAGUGUGAAUGUGGUAGUAUUUGGGUAACAUGGCAGUAUGCGAAUGUGGUAUUUUGCAUAACCUGGCAGUAAGUGAAUGUGAUUGUAUUUGUGUAACAUGGCAGUAAGUGAAUGUGGCUGUAUUUGCGUAACAUGGCAGUAAGUGAAUGUGGCUGUAUUUGCGUAACAUGGCAGUAAGUGAAUGUGAUUGUAUUCGUGUAACAUGGCAGUAAGUGAAUGUGGUAUUUUGCGUAACAUGGCAGUAAGUGAAUGUGGCUGUAUUCGUGUAACAUGGCAGUGUGUGAAUGAGGUUUUUUGCAUAGCAUGGCAGUAAGUGAAUGUGGUAUUUUGCGUAACAUGGCAGUAAGUGAAUGUGGCUGUAUUCGUGUAACAUGGCAGUAAGUGAAUGUGGUAUUUUGCGUAACAUGGCAGUAAGUGAAUGUGGUAUUUUGCGUAACAUGGCAGUAAGUGAAUGUGGCUGUAUUCGUGUAACAUGGCAGUGUGUGAAUGAGGUUUUUUGCAUAGCAUGGCAGUAAGUGAAUGUGGUAUUUUGCGUAGCAGGGCAGUAAGUGAAUGUGGUAGUUUACUUGUGUAACCGCGGCUGGUUCCCCAAUUUACCACUAUAACAUCUUAAGUAUAGAAUUUAGCAGGGCUAACCAUACAGAUAUCUUGGCUAUAAUAAUAUAUAGUUAGUAAGCGUUCCUCUAUUUAAAAUAUAUAAAUAAUUGAGAAUACGAUAUAAAAUCGGGAUUGUCUUGGAUUCCUUUUGGGUUAAGCACCCCUCUCAGCCACCCAGCUUCAUAGGCCCUUUUGGAGGUGACCACGGAAAAGUAUAGAUUUGAGUGGGCUU